ensembl:lncRNA
UGAGGAACAGCAGACUGCUUUGGGAACACUGGAAUAUGAAACACAGACACUGAAGACAGAAAAUGCAGUCCAAGCGACUCAACUGAGAAACAUGGAGGCCAAGUUGAAGGCUGCUGAACACCAGCUGGAGCAAGUGAAGAGUGUGAAUGAAGCUCAAGCUCUUGAACUGGAGGAGCUCAGUGUGAAGUCAUCUACAACUGAGGAUGAGCUGAGGCAGCACCAGACUACAGUGGGGAACUUAACAGGAAAGGUGAAGGAGAUACAACAAGAGAAUUCAGUCCAAGCUUCGGAGCUCCGGGACCUUGCCAUGAGGUCAAAUUCCACUGAAGGCCUAGUUGAGGAACAGCAGACUGCUUUGGGAACACUGGAAUAUGAAACACAGACACUGAAGACAGAAAAUGCAGUUCAAGACCAGGAGCUGGUGACCCUUAAUGAAAGGUCAGAUAUCACUGAGGCUCUGGUGGAUGAGCACAACAUUGUGAUGGAGGAGCUGAAGACUGAGCUGGAUGGACUGGAAAGGGAGAAUGCAGGUACGAGUACUAAAUUCAGUGAGAAUGGAGGUACAAGCACUAGAUUGAGUGAGAUGCAGGUACGAGUACUAGACUGAGUGAGAAUGCAGGUACAAGUACUAGAUUGAGUGAGAAUGCAGGUACGAGUACUAGAUUGAGUGAGGUGGAUUCCUGCAAAAACAUACCAAUGUCAAUAUCAGCACUCUGAGUAUAUGGUAUAAGUUACAGGU